CUAGCUAAGGCUUACACAUGCAGUCGAGGGGANCGGCAUUAAGUGCUUGCACUUUUUGGACGUCGACCGGCGCACGGGUGAGUAACGCGUAUCCAACCUUCCCAUGACUAAGGGAUAACCUGCCGAAAGGCAGACUAAUACCUUAUGGUCUUCACUGACGGCAUCAGAUGUGAAGUAAAGAUUUAUCGGUUAUGGAUGGGGAUGCGUCUGAUUAGCUUGUUGGCGGGGUAACGGCCCACCAAGGCAACGAUCAGUAGGGGUUCUGAGAGGAAGGUCCCCCACAUUGGAACUGAGACACGGUCCAAACUCCUACGGGAGGCAGCAGUGAGGAAUAUUGGUCAAUGGGCGAGAGCCUGAACCAGCCAAGUAGCGUGCAGGAAGACGGCCCUAUGGGUUGUAAACUGCUUUUGUAUGGGGAUAAAGUCAAUCACGUGUGAUUGUUUGCAGGUACCAUACGAAUAAGGACCGGCUAAUUCCGUGCCAGCAGCCGCGGUAAUACGGAAGGUCCGGGCGUUAUCCGGAUUUAUUGGGUUUAAAGGGAGCGUAGGCUGGAGAUUAAGUGUGUUGUGAAAUGUAGACGCUCAACGUCUGACUUGCAGCGCAUACUGGUUUCCUUGAGUACGCACAACGUUGGCGGAAUUCGUCGUGUAGCGGUGAAAUGCUUAGAUAUGACGAAGAACUCCGAUUGCGAAGGCAGCUGACGGGAGCGCAACUGACGCUGAAGCUCGAAGGUGCGGGUAUCGAACAGGAUUAGAUACCCUGGUAGUCCGCACAGUAAACGAUGGAUGCCCGCUGUUGGUACCUGGUAUCAGCGGCUAAGCGAAAGCAUUAAGCAUCCCACCUGGGGGAGUACGCCGGCAACGGUGAAACUCAAAGGAAUUGACGGGGGGCCCGCACAAGCGGAGGAACAUGUGGUUUAAUUUCGAUGAUACGCGAGGAACCUUACCCGGGCUUGAAUUGCA
rnacentral:rRNA from 1 species